UAGACCGGAUGAAAAAUGGCAAAAAAUAUCGUUUGUUCAGAGUCAAGAAUGACACAGCUGUUUAGUUCACCGAUUUCGACACAAUAAUCAGUCAUAAUUAUGUUCAUCACUGAAUGUACUUGUAUUAGAUAAAUUAAACCCGAUUAUAUCUGAAUAGUAAUGGGGUACCUACGUAUCCUUGUGGAUUCCCACUUCUCCAUCUUUUUAGGUCUUCUCGUAAACUCUUAAAUGUCCAAACAAACAAUAAUACGACAACUCGAAUAGACAGAAAAAGGGGUAGAAGAGGCAUAACACACAAUAUACCAUCAACGUCGGAUUUAAAAUAAGAAAGCUAAAGACAUUUUAAGGUUUCGCCCAAUUUUACAUUACAGUUAUAUGCAGAUGAAUUGUCAGAAAACUACCCUUCUUUGUAACCAAAUACUUUUUCUUCAUUUCAGAUAUACAGGAGCUGCAAUUCGCUUUUCUUUGUAAUGCAAAUAAGUUGCUAGAGCAGGAGUGUGAGUGGUAGUGAGAGUGACUCUAGGAUGGUUGAGCGGAUUUGAAUGAGUGUGUACAAGUGAAUGGGUUGUAUGUGAGGGGUUUCUCAGUUUGUCUCACUGCUAAUUGAGGAAGCCAUUUAGGUGGUCAUAGAGGAAAGACUUCUAGCAUGUCCAUUCCUUAUCAGCCAUGUUACUGAAUUUAUUUUGAAGCCAAGCACUACCAAAGCUGAAUUGUGGCUCCUCCCUUUGGGGACUAGGACAGAG